rnacentral:rRNA from 1 species
AUUGAACGCUGGCGGCAUGCUUUACACAUGCAAGUCGAACGGUAACAGGCCGCAAGGUGCUGACGAGUGGCGAACGGGUGAGUAAUGCAUCGGAACGUGCCCAGUCGUGGGGGAUAACGCAGCGAAAGCUGCGCUAAUACCGCAUACGAUCUAUGGAUGAAAGCGGGGGACCGUAAGGCCUCGCGCGAUUGGAGCGGCCGAUGUCAGAUUAGGUAGUUGGUGGGGUAAAGGCGCACAAAGCCGACGAUCUGUAGCUGGUCUGAGAGGACGACCAGCCACACUGGGACUGAGACACGGCCCAGACUCCUACGGGAGGCAGCAGUGGGGAAUUUUGGACAAUGGGCGCAAGCCUGAUCCAGCAAUGCCGCGUGCAGGAAGAAGGCCUUCGGGUUGUAAACUGCUUUUGUACGGAACGAAAAGGCUCUGGUUAAUACCUGGGGCUCAUGACGGUACCGUAAGAAUAAGCACCGGCUAACUACGUGCCAGCAGCCGCAGUAAGAC